GUGCCAGCAGCCGCGGUAAGACGUAGGGAGCGAGCGUUGUCCGGAUUCAUUGGGCGUAAAGAGCGCGCAGGCGGUUUGGUAAGUCGGAUGUGAAAUCCCGGAGCUCAACUCCGGACCUGCAUCCGAAACUGCCCGACUAGAGGUAGGUAGGGGAGAUCGGAAUUCCUGGUGUAGCGGUGAAAUGCGCAGAUAUCAGGAGGAACACCGGUGGCGAAGGCGGAUCUCUGGGCCUUACCUGACGCUCAGGCGCGAAAGCUAGGGGAGCGAACAGGAUUAGAUACCCCCGUAGUCC
rnacentral:rRNA from 1 species